rnacentral:rRNA from 1 species
UACGUAGGUUGCAAGCGUUAUUCGGAUUUACUGGGCGUAAAGCGCACCGAGGUGGCACCUUAAGUUGGAUGUAAAAUCUCUCGGCUUAACCGGGAGGCGCCAUUCAAUACUGAGGAGCUCGAGGUCAGCAGGGGAAAGCGGAAUUCCCGGUGUAGUGGUGGAAUGCGUAGAGAUCGGGAGGAACACCAGUGGCGAAAGCGGCUUUCUGGGCUGCACCUGACACCCAAGUGCUAAAGCGUGGGGAGCAAACAGG